rnacentral:rRNA from 1 species
UUUAAUUGAAGAGUUUGAUCAUGGCUCAGAUUGAACGCUGGCGGCAGGCCUAACACAUGCAAGUCGAGCGGUAACAGAGAUAGCUUGCUAUCUGCUGACGAGCGGCGGACGGGUGAGUAAUGCUUGGGAACAUGCCUUGAGGUGGGGGACAACAGUUGGAAACGACUGC